rnacentral:misc_RNA from 1 species
AAAGUCGUAACAAGGUUUCCGUAGGUGAACCUGCGGAAGGAUCAUUAACACGUGUAUCCACGUAUAAACCUUCGUGCACUCGUUCUGUUUUGGGGGCGUAGCCAGCGGCUUCGAAAGAGGCCCGCUCGGUGGCGUCCUGUCUCUGAGAGCUCACCCUCUCACUGACGCAACUUUUAACCCUUAUUACCAAUCUGUCUUAUUUUCUGUUCUCAGCGAAAGCUGUUAACAAAUCUAUUUAACUAUAGAACAACUCUUAGCAACGGAUAUCUUGGUUCUC